UACAGAGGUGGCAAGCGUUGUUCGGAAUUACUGGGCGUAAAGGGCGCGUAGGCGGCCAUCUAAGUCAGACGUGAAAUCCCCCGGCUUAACCUGGGAACUGCGUCUGAUACUGGAAGGCUCGAGUUUGGGAGAGGGAUGUGGAAUUCCAGGUGUAGCGGUGAAAUGCGUAGAUAUCGUUUGGAACGCCAAUGGUGAAAACAGAUUGCUGGGAGUGUGCUGACGCUGAGACACGAAAGCCAGGGGAGCAAACGGG
rnacentral:rRNA from 1 species